AGGUGGCAACGAGUGUCACUCC
rnacentral:siRNA from 1 species